rnacentral:rRNA from 1 species
GCUUAACACAUGCAAGUCGAGCGGUAAGGCCCUUCGGGGUACACGAGCGGCGAACGGGUGAGUAACACGUGGGUGAUCUGCCUCGCACUCUGGGAUAAGCCUGGGAAACUGGGUCUAAUACCGGAUAUGACCGCGAAUCGCAUGGUUUGUGGUGGAAAGGUUUACUGGUGCGAGAUGGGCCCGCGGCCUAUCAGCUUGUUGGUGGGGUAACGGCCUACCAAGGCGACGACGGGUAGCCGGCCUGAGAGGGCGACCGGCCACACUGGGACUGAGACACGGCCCAGACUCCUACGGGAGGCAGCAGUGGGGAAUAUUGCACAAUGGGCGAAAGCCUGAUGCAGCGACGCCGCGUGAGGGAUGACGGCCUUCGGGUUGUAAACCUCUUUCGACAGGGACGAAGCGCAAGUGACGGUACCUGUAGAAGAAGCACCGGCCAACUACGUGCCAGCAGCCGCGGUAAUACGUAGGGUGCGAGCGUUGUCCGGAAUUACUGGGCGUAAAGAGCUUGUAGGCGGUCUGUCGCGUCGAUCGUGAAAACGUGCAGCUCAACUGCGCGCCUGCGGUCGAUACGGGCAGACUAGAGUACUUCAGGGGAGACUGGAAUUC